AUUGAACGCUGGCGGCAGGCCUAACACAUGCAAGUCGAACGAGUGGCGGACGGGUGAGUAAUGUCUGGGAAACUGCACGAUGGAGGGGGAUAACUACUGGAAACGGUAGCUAAUACCGCAUACCAUUGGAUGUGCCCAGGUGGGAUUAGCUAGUAGGUGGGGAAACGGCUCACCUGGGCGUCGACGCCUAGCUGGUCUGAGAGGCUGACCGGCCACACGGGAGCUGAGACACGGUCCAGACUCCUACGGGAGGCAGCAGUGGGGAAUAUUGCGCAAUGGGCGCAAGCCUGAUACAGCCGUGGCGCGUGUGUGAAGGAGGCCUUGGGGUUGUAAAGUACUUUCAGCGAGGAGUCGUUACUCGCAGAAGAAGCACCGGCUAACUCCGUGCCAGCCGCCGCGGUAAUAC
rnacentral:rRNA from 1 species